rnacentral:rRNA from 1 species
GACGAACGCUGGCGGCGUGCUUAACACAUGCAAGUCGAGCGGAAAGGCCUCUUCGGGGGUACUCGAGCGGCGAACGGGUGAGUAACACGUGAGUAAUCUGCCCUUCACUCUGGGAUAGCCACCGGAAACGGUGAUUAAUACCGGAUACGACACGUCCAGGCAUCUGGUGCGUGUGGAAACUUUUUGGGUGGGGGAUGUGCUCGCGGCCUAUCAGCUUGUUGGUGGGGUAAUGGCCUACCAAGGCUUCGACGGGUAGCCGGCCUGAGAGGGUGACCGGCCACACUGGGACUGAGACACGGCCCAGACUCCUACGGGAGGCAGCAGUGGGGAAUAUUGGACAAUGGGCGGAAGCCUGAUCCAGCAACGCCGCGUGAGGGAUGACGGCCUUCGGGUUGUAAACCUCUUUCAGCACCGACGAAGCGAUCCUUUGGGGAGUGACGGUAGGUGCAGAAGAAGGACCGGCCAACUACGUGCCAGCAGCCGCCGUAACAC